rnacentral:lncRNA from 1 species
GUAAGCCUCAGGUUCAGUGAGAGACCCUGUCUCAAAAAAUAAGGUGGAGAAUGAUAAAACAUAAACCUCUGACCUCUCCAAGCAAGCACACACACACACACACACACACACACACGUGAACACAUACUCCACACCAGAGAGGAACAAAGAUGUUUACCAUGUGCCAGGAUCUGCAACAGGACCAACUAAGGGCCUGAAGCAAGGAAGGGAGGGAGAAGGAGGCAGAGCAUCUUAAGGGAGUCUGUCUCUCAGGAUGAUAGGCUCUGUGAGGAUCUGUCAGAGCAGUGAGGAUCCCUCACCACCACUACCACCCUGGCUGAAGGUCAGCAAAGAGGCCAGUGCUAGAGAAUUCUGCGUCUAGUUGGGCAUUCAACAAAGUGAGAAAGCCUGACUUCACUCAGUACUUUGAUCUCACAGUGGGAAUACAAAGACCUAGGGAGUGGAAGAGACCUGCCUAGGUCACAGCACCCAACAAAUAGCACUCUGAAAUGGAACCAGGGCACUGUGGGGCUCAGCUGCAGCAGGGCUGUUCACACAGCUCCGCAGCCCCUGAAUAGAGUGUAUAGUCUGAGGGCUGUGGUCCCUUCAGAUCACAUGCCAGCCACCUCCCCUCCUUUUCCCCUUUGGUAGGAUUCUUCCUUCUGAGUGAGCAGCUGCUGUUGGGCUAAAUGAGACCCAGUCUUCCGUCCGUGCUCGCUAUGGAGUAAAUGCCUCCUGGAGAAAGCAGAGGUUUAGAGAGAUUGAAAG